GACAGAGGUUGCAAACGUUGUUCGGAAUUACUGGGCAUAAAGCGCACGUAGGUGGUCCGCUAAGUCGGAUGUGAAAUUCCCCGGCUCAACCGGGGAACGGCAAUCGAUACUGGCGGGCUUGAGGUCCGGAGGGGUGAGUGGAACUCCUGGUGGAGCGGUGAAAUGCGUAGAUAUCAGGAGGAACACCAGUGGCGAAAGCGGCUCACUGGCCGGAAUCUGACACUGAGGUGCGAAAGCUAGGGUAGCAAACGGG
rnacentral:rRNA from 1 species